rnacentral:rRNA from 1 species
GACGAACGCUGGCGGCGUGCUUAACACAUGCAAGUCGAACGGAAAGGCCCUGCUUUUGUGGGGUGCUCGAGUGGCGAACGGGUGAGUAACACGUGAGUAACCUGCCCUUGACUUUGGGAUAACUUCAGGAAACUGGGGCUAAUACCGGAUAGGAGCUCCUGCUGCAUGGUGGGGGUUGGAAAGUUUCGGCGGUUGGGGUUGGACUCGCGGCUUAUCAGCUUGUUGGUGGGGUAGUGGCUUACCAAGGCUUUGACGGGUAGCCGGCCUGAGAGGGUGACCGGCCACAUUGGGACUGAGGUACGGCCCAGACUCCUACGGGAGGCAGCAGUGGGGAAUAUUGCACAAUGGGCGGAAGCCUGAUGCAGCAACGCCGCGUGCGGGAUGACGGCCUUCGGGUUGUAAACCGCUUUCGCCUGUGACGAAGCGUGAGUGACGGUAAUGGGUAAAGAAGCACCGGCUAACUACGUG